rnacentral:sRNA from 1 species
AUUUUUGCUGCUUUUAGCUAUGAUUUAGGUAUAGGUUUUAGAGUCCUUUUGUUAUUUCUAGAGUCUUUUCUAGUCUUUUUCAGGUCUUUACAUGUUUGGGAUGCAUUUGGAGAUUAUGGAGCAUUCUGGAGCAAAACAGACAACUUAAGUUGCAGAAGUAGUUCGCAGACCAAAAUCCGGGUAGGUAUCGAACACACCACCCCUGGUGUCGAGCGACACUAAUACCUAACGGCAAUUCGAAGACGCAACUAAUUGAUGUUUUGAAGAUUUCUAAAUUCAGCUCAGAACUUUCUCUAU